AACUCACACCAGGCCACGCAGGCGUCGCUCCAUUUUCAGUUCGACCGAGAAUCAUCCUGAGAAUGUGGCUGCAUCACCCCUGCCUUCACUGGAAACUCACACAAGGCCACGCAGGCGUCGCUACAUUUUGAGUUAGACCGAGAAUCAUCCUAAAUGUGAUCAAGCACCUGCUCCAAAAAGGGCAAAGGCAGCACACAGACAGUCCACCAUGUCAUGGAAGGAUCAGACCGAUAACGACACAGUUCCACAGACUCUGUGAUUCCUGCCUGUACGUGAACCUGAACCUCAACUGAGGUCUUCUGACUCUCCUUCUCCAUGUAGUCUAUUUAAAAUGUUUUUCCCGGACAGUGUUGUGUCAACUUUGUGCCACAACACAAAUGCUCAAGCUGCCAAGUCAAUAGCCAA